rnacentral:tRNA from 1 species
CCCGUAGCCCAAUCAGCAGAGGCAUCCCGCUUAAGACGGGAUAGGUGCAGGUGCGAAUCCUGCCGGGAGGACCA